GUACACGCUGUGACUAGCAUAUCAAUAAGCGGAGGAAAAGAAACUAACAAGGAUUCCCCUAGUAACGGCGAGUGAAGCGGGAAGAGCUCAAAUUUGAAAUCUUAAAGGGUUUCCCUUUACGAAUUGUAGUUUAAAGAAGUGUUUUCUGUUGAGGUUUUGGUAAAAGUUCUUUGGAAUAGGACAUCAUAGAGGGUGAGAAUCCCGUAUUUGACCUUUACUUUCAACUUUGUGAUACACUUUCAAAGAGUCGGAUUGUUUGGGAAUGCAGUCCAAAAUGGGUGGUAAAUUUCAUCUAAAGCUAAAUAUUGGCGAGAGACCGAUAGCGAACAAGUACCGUGAGGGAAAGAUGAAAAGAACUUUGAAAAGAGAGUUAAACAGUACGUGAAAUUGUCAAAAGGGAAGCGUUUGACACCAGUGUUGUUUUUCUGAAAAUCAGUUAAAGAACUGUUUAUGCUAAGCUGUUUAGACUUUAUCAGCUAUCUGUUUAGUUUUGAGCUUUUCUUUAAUGCACUUUUCAGUUAACAAGUCAACAUCAAUUUCUUUUGCUGUAAAAAAGCUUGAGGAAGGUGGCUUGAGAUUCGUCUUAAGUGUUUAUAGCCUCUUGCCUAUGCAGUCGGAGAGAUUGAGGUCUGCAGCGUAGAUCCUUCGGGGCUAAAUGCAUUUGUGCUAAGUUAUAGCAUUUUAUAGACAACUUGUUGACUAUGAUUUGUCUUGUAGCUUACUCGCUUAUGUUAUUUUACCUACGCUUAGGAUGUUGACAGCAGUAUAGACUGU
rnacentral:rRNA from 1 species